rnacentral:rRNA from 1 species
GAUGAACGCUGGCGGCGUGCCUAAUACAUGCAAGUCGAGCGAACAGACGAGGAGCUUGCUCCUCUGACGUUAGCGGCGGACGGGUGAGUAACACGUGGAUGACCUACCUAUAAGACUGGGAUAACUUCGGGAAACCGGAGCUAAUACCGGAUAAUAUAUUGAACCGCAUGGUUCAAUAGUGAAAGACGGUUUUGCUGUCACUUAUAGAUGGAUCCGCGCCGCAUUAGCUAGUUGGUAAGGUAACGGCUUACCAAGGCAACGAUGCGUAGCCGACCUGAGAGGGUGAUCGGCCAAACUGGAACUGAGACACGGUCCAGACUCCUACGGGAGGCAGCAGUAGGGAAUCUUCCGCAAUGGGCGAAAGCCUGACGGAGCAACGCCGCGUGAGUGAUGAAGGUCUUCGGAUCGUAAAACUCUGUUAUUAGGGAAGAACAAAUGUGUAAGUAACUAUGCACGUCUUGACGGUACCUAAUCAGAAAGCCACGGCUAACUACGUG